rnacentral:rRNA from 1 species
UGGGGAAUAUUGGACAAUGGGGGAAACCCUGAUCCAGCAAUGCCGCGUGUGUGAAGAAGGCCUGAGGGUUGUAAAGCACUUUCAGUGGGGAGGAGGGCUUAUAGGUUAAGAGCUAAUAAGUUGGACGUUACCCACAGAAGAAGCACCGGCUAACUCCGUGCCAGCAGCCGCGGUAAUACGGAGGGUGCGAGCGUUAAUCGGAAUUACUGGGCGUAAAGGGUGCGUAGGUGGUUGAUUAAGUUAUCUGUGAAAUUCCUGGGCUUAACCUGGGCUGGUCAGAUAAUACUGGUUGACUGGAGUAUAGGAGAGGGUAGUGGAAUUUCCGGUGUAGCGGUGAAAUGCGUAGAUAUCGGAAGGAACACCAGUGGCGAAGGCGGCUACCUGGCCUGAUACUGACACUGAGGCACGAAAGCGUGGGGAGCAAACAG